GAUGAACGCUGGCGGCGUGCCUAAUACAUGCAAGUCGAGCGAGCAGACGAGGAGCUUGCUCCUCUGACGUUAGCGGCGGACGGGUGAGUAACACGUGGAUAACCUACCUAUAAGACUGGGAUAACUUCGGGAAACCGGAGCUAAUACCGGAUAAUAUAUUGAACCGCAUGGUUCAAUAGUGAAAGACGGUUUUGCUGUCACUUAUAGAUGGAUCCGCGCCGCAUUAGCUAGUUGGUAAGGUAACGGCUUACCAAGGCAACGAUGCGUAGCCGACCUGAGAGGGUGAUCGGCCACACUGGAACUGAGACACGGUCCAGACUCCUACGGGAGGCAGCAGUAGGGAAUCUUCCGCAAUGGGCGAAAGCCUGACGGAGCAACGCCGCGUGAGUGGUGAAGGUCUUCGGAUCGUAAAACUCUGUUAUUAGGGAAGAACAAAUGUGUAAGUAACUAUGCACGUCUUGACGGUACCUAAUCAGAAAGCCACGGCUAACUACGUG
rnacentral:rRNA from 1 species